UAAAACCCAAUAAUACAAAAAACUAUACUCUGAUUUUCUAUUUCUCCUGUUCCCCUAAUCCUUCCCGUUCCACUUCUCUGUCGUCCAAAACACACACCAUGGUCAAACCUUCUCCUUCGUGCAAAAUACACCCCAUGGCCAAACCGCUUCUCCAUCAUCCAAAACCCAGACCCAUAUUAGCUCCAACAAAACCUGAUUCCGCUCCCCUUCACCGUCGUCCAAAACGCCUCUGAAGUGAUUCACUCCAAUCGCAGAUACAGGUCGGCCAAACCCCUUCUUCGUAUCAGACCAUUCUCUCUCGGGAUUUCACUUCCUAACCCUCAGGUGUGCUGGGUUUUGGCCGUCAAUUGCAACUGAAGCUAGCCUCCUCUGUAGAGGAAGUCCAAACCCAAAGUUUUGGCGAUUUAAGGUGGAAAUUUGUGUUGAAGAAGAUUGUGAUGACCGUCAAGGAGGACGGAUUUGCUAGGUAGGGUAACAGACUAACAAUGGUGUUCAUGGGUUGCAAUAAGCGGUUUAUUUAGACUAUUAUUAGAUUGGCCUCAACCUCAAACUCAUGGUUUGAGUUUUUCACAAAGACAGUGCUCGAUAAAGGUGUUACAUGCUGAGCCAAAACGUAAUGAUUUGAUGGCCAUUGGGUUUGGUGUUGUUGGCACACAAAAAGCUCAUUAGGGAGAAGCUUGCAGAAGAGGCUGAACAGAACGUCAAGCAGGGGAGGCCAAGAGGGAAUAUUACUUGGUAACAAGUAUGUCAUACUGGACUGCAUUGUUCAAGAGCUACUGCUGCAUUAAGGUUGCAUCAAUUAAGUGCUAUUGCAUAUUGAGACAAACAAAUUUAAUUAUAUGCAACACUCUAUCAAAUUAAAUCAUUUUGAGUUCAAGCCUAAGGUAGACUUGGCAAUGUAUGAAAGUUGAGGAUUAGAUGUCUUGAUUUGGUGGGAUGAAAGUUUUUGAAUUAGCAGUGUGAGUGUAUUUUUGUGUUGCUGAUUGGUAAUUUGGUAGA